CGUCAAGAGUUUUUGGCACCGAUUUGGUGAGCUGAUUUCUUUUGCCUUUUGAAAGGUGAGAGACG
rnacentral:sRNA from 1 species